UCCCUGGUGGCUCAGACGGUAAAGCAUCUGUCUACAAUGCAGGAGACCCGGGUUCGAUCCCUGGAUUGGGAA
rnacentral:tRNA from 1 species